GCCCAACAUAUGUGCUUAAUUUGAUUGAUAGUCUUGAGAUUUCUCCUUAUUACACUCAGUAUCCCUCUAUCCCUCUGCUUUAAAAUAUUACUUUUAAACCCCUGUGUCAAAUAUAGGUUCCGUUAAGUUAAUAAAAAAAAAAAUGAAACAAAUAAAAUAUGAUUUUAUGGUAUUCCGAAUUUACCCCUCUGAAUAGCAUUGACAGAUUAGGAUUGCCGGUGUUCAUUUCUCUCAUCGCAUCCUCCUCCUUUCCAUGACAGCGUCUGAUCUUCCCCACUGGAGGUCGUCGUGAAGGGAGGCGGCGCUGGCAUCUUCCACCUCCCCAUGUUCGCAGUGGUGCACUCGGUGCGGCCGCCGAGUCUCGAACUGCGAAAGACUUAGAUGCGGCAUCAUCGGAGACUCAGAUGUGAAGAGGAGAGUGCGCCAUUUCGAGAGUCAGAGUGGACUAAUUUCUAUGCAGAGUCUGUCUCUGGCGAGUGCGAUUUCGAAGGCGCAAAUAAGCUCCUUCAGGGUGUCGGCUUCUUCGAGGAGCUUGAGCUCCGCCUUGAUUACCCAGUCAUUGGUCUUUGUGUUCCCGCAAAUUAGCAUGUCGUGAACAUUAGAUUGGUUCAUUUUGGAUUUUUGCGUUCAGAUUUGAAUGGGGAUGCAUUGCAUUCUCGGAAUCGCAAUGCACUAGUAAGUCUUCUUUAAUUUGGCACUGCUGGUGAAUUUGGUGAUAUUGUGAAAGCCAAUUUAGUUUCCUGCUCUAUUAAUUGUCAAUUAAUUUUGUUUCUAACAUUGGCACCACUAGAAACUUUUGUCCCAACACUGCCAAUCAGUUAUUUUCUCUUCUGAAUCGAAUUAAUAGUACGGAUUUGGUUUCUAUAGUAAAAUGAGGGAUCAAUUUGAUUAAUGUGUAGAAAAGUUAAGAAUUGAAAUUGUUUGAAUUUUUUAGGUGUGGUGGUAGCUUAGAAAUGGGAAGAAAAUUUAGGAAUUAAAAAUGAUUGCAGGGGGCGGACUUUCCUGUUUUUGGUAGGCCUAUUCCAUUUCAUGGCAUGGGUGGUUAACUUUGGCAACGUUCAGGAUGUUUUGGGUAACAUAACAGCAUCUGGGUUCAAUUAAAUUAACGAGGAAGCUGCUCAUUUCGCGUUUGGUAGUGUUUUUUUUCCUUCAUUGAAGUUGCCCAGAUUUUUACGAGGAAGAUGAGGUCUUUUUGGGCAAAAAAAUUUCAUUAAAAGUAAUGUGCAAGGAUCUAAACGGCGUUUAAGUGUAAGGGGAGCAAGUGUAACAACUAGUGAAAAAAUAAGGGGGGUUUUGUAGGGAUUAAAAAGAGAGGGAUAUCAAGUGUAAUAAGCUAAAACAUCAAGGGGAUUAGUGUAAUUAACUCUAUAUAAUAUGUUAUAUAUUUUUAAGGACAGGUCAAUUUCCCCGUUGAUGCUUACCCGGGCAUGGGCUCUCUUUAAAUUUGGGUUUCAAGAUAUGCGAAUUUUCCCCUCAUUUUCUCUUCUUGUUGGUUGAUAAUUCAGCUGUUGUUUUUCUACUGCUAAUAAUUUUGUUUUCUAUGGCCGUUCAUGGUCCUUUUGUCAAUGACAAAUUAUAGUGUGAGAAAGCUAGUGAAUUCUCUCACAGUGAGAAAUUAGCUUCCCACACAGUUAUUUAACAUUAUAUAGCCUUGCCGCCUUGGUCUCAAAAUAUGUCUAGUGUUUAGACAAUUAGACUAGUUUAGAAACUAGAAUUAGAAUAUAUUACAUUUUACACAUUUUACAUUUACAGUAUAUGGAUUAUGGUAUUCAGUUUAGACAUUGGAUUUUAUGUUUCAUAUGUCUCAUCUUAGCAGAUUUAUUUAUGCUAUGUAUUUUUCCUCCUUGAAAAUGGAGAGAUCAUUUCUCAAGAAACCUUCUUUGAGUUGAGCUUUAUUACUUUUUUGUACUAAACAAUGCGUGCAAAGUUUCCUUGGUUGUAAUUCUGUAAACUCCUUUGUUUUGCAUCUUCUAUUAUCUUUUGGAGCAUUUGGCUUCUGUAUGCUGCUAAAAUUGAGCUGCUUGUUGAGCUAUUUUGUACCACAUGAGCUACAAAGUCGAAAUACUAAGUUAUCCAGGCUGCUGUAUGCAGUGGCUAGGUGUAGGGGGCUUGGCUGCAUUGUUGAGUUAUUUUCCUUCUAAUUGGUUUUUAUGUUCUUCUGGAUUGGGGCCUUCACCAGUAAGUGGAUGAGAAUACAACUGUCCUAUUGUUAUAAGGGGUGCAAGCGUUAACAACUCUUAAAUCUUAAUUAGAUGAAAAUUUAGUGGAUAAGAAAUAUUAUGGCCUUUUAAAAAAAAGAAUAACCAUCGUCUGAAAAGGAUAUUAGAUAAGUUAAAAAAUGAGAGUCAGAGCAUUAGAUACUUCAAAUAUCAUGGGCAGAAAAAAUGUUACCAAAAGUGCAUAGCAUUGGUCAGCCAACUUUAGUUUCAAAUAUUAUUGUUUGGAAACACAGUUGAGUGAAAACAAAAUCUGAUGUGUGGUUCACUUUUUUCUCCAUCAAAAUAUGCUCACCUAAAACCGUGGUGCAUGCUUAUCCACCUUCCCCAUCUCCUCUUCUGCAUCACUUAAAAGCUAAAUUAUGUUUCAGUCUUAGAGGACAUGAAAAGUCUUCCCCCGGUGCACUUAGAAGUAUCAAUUUUAGAUAUUGCCUCACUCUUUGUUUCACCAUCUCCUCUUCUCCUCUAGCUCCACACCACCUUUCUUCCACCCUUUUAUACCACGAAAGUAAGAAGAAAAACAGUACAAUUUUUUUAUCACUCUUGAUAUUUUGUGGUUAAAAAUUUAAAUUUUUUAUCUAUGUUAAUUGUAUACUUAAUUAAGUUUUUCGUACUUGAAAUAUAAUUUGUUUUAAAAACACUACCUAACAUUCAUUUUUUUCCUAGAUGCCUAAAAAUUUUUUGCAUUUCAUUUUAGUACCUGCCGUUAGGUUUUAUCCGUUAAUUGACAACGUGGCAUAGUCACUCACCACGUAAGUGCCUUUUUUCCACAUCAUUAAUUUUAAUUUUUAAAAAUUUAAAAAACAAAAUUUAAAUCAAGCGGCACCCCUCGACCUCGGAGGCCACUUCUCAACCCCCACGGUGCGUUGGCCGCUCUGAAGUUAUCAUGUACAUCGUUGGCUACCCCUUCGACGUCAUCUCUGUCCUCUCCGUCUAAGGGAGGCAUUUGGGAUUUUGGAAUCCUAACGGAGGCUGUUUGGUUGAUGGGAGAAAGGAUGAAGGGAAAGGGUGGGUCAUCAUCUCCGUCGUCGUCAUCUCCUAUGAUGGUUAAGUACAAAUGUGAGGUACCCGCUAUUAUGUUCACGUUGUGUAGUGUGAACCAUCUGGGGAGAAGGUUUUGGAGAUGCCCACACUGGAAUAAGGGAGUGAGUUGACCUGGCAUGUUCACGAAAAUGAAGAGUUGAAGUUGAAACUUGCUUCAUUAAUGGAGGAAGCUAAAGCAAAUGCAGAAGAAAUAGCAAAAUUGAGGAAAAAAAUUGUUGCACAUGAAGAAGAAUGUUGUGUCAGCUGAAGUUGUAUGCACUUGAAGAGUAAAAUUGGAAGGAAAAAGAAAAAUGUUGUUGAAAGGAAUAUGGUGAAGUUGUUAGGUUUUGUAGUUGUAGUUCUUUGGGUGUUCAUUUAUUUACUAAACAUUGUAAUUGCAAUGAAUGUUGGUGGUUAUAGAAGAAACUGAGUUGUAGCUGAAUUUGGUUAUUUGCUUGGGUAGUUGUAUUGUUAAAUUUGGUAGGUUGGUAUGAUGUAAAACUUUGAAAGUGAUUAUGUUGUAUUUGAUGUAGUUGGAUGUUUGUAAUGAAAUUAGUUUAUGAUGUGUUAA